rnacentral:rRNA from 1 species
CCCGGUAGCUAAAUGCGGAAGAGAUAAGUGCUGAAAGCAUCUAAGCACGAAACUUGCCCCGAGAUGAGUUCUCCCUGACUCCCUGAGAGUCCUGAAGGAACGUUGAAGACGACGACGUUGAUAGGCCGGGUGUGUAAGCGCAGCGAUGCGUUGAGCUAACCGGUACUAAUGAACCGUGAGGCUUAACCUU